ACGGACGAACCUCUAGUGUGCCAGUUGUUCCGCCAGGGGCAUUGCUGGUUGGCCACGUUCGGGAGGGAUAACCGCUGAAAGCAUCUAAGCGGGAAGCCUGCUUCGAGAUUAGUUCUCGUUCCACUAGAUAAGUGGGUGAGGUCCCCGGUUGAUGAUCGGGUUGAUAGGCCAGGGAUGUAAGCAUUGUGAGGUGUUUAGUUGACUGGUACUAAUGGACCGAUAACCAAAAUCAA
rnacentral:rRNA from 1 species